rnacentral:rRNA from 1 species
GUAGGUGGCAAGCGUUGUCCGGAAUUAUUGGGCGUAAAGCGCGCGCAGGUGGUUCUUUAAGUCUGAUGUGAAAGCCCACGGCUCAACCGGGGAGGGUCAUUGGAAACUGGGGAACUUGAGUGCAGGAGAGGAAAGUGGAAUUCCACGUGUAGCGGUGAAAUGCGUAGAUAUGUGGAGGAACACCAGUGGCGAAGGCGACUUUCUGGCCUGUAACUGACACUGAGGCGCGAAAGCGUGGGGAGCAAACAGGGAUUAGAUACCCUGGUAGUCCACGCCGUAAACGAUGAGUGCUAAGUGUUGGGGGGGGUUUCCGCCCCCUCAGUGCUGCAGCUAACGCAUUAAGCACUCCGCCUGGGAGUACGGUCGCAAGACUG